rnacentral:rRNA from 1 species
GGACUACUGGGGUUUCUAAUCCUGUUUGCUCCCCACGCUUUCGUGCCUCAGUGUCAGUUCUGGUCCAGAUAGUCGCCUUCGCCACUGAUGUUCCUCCCGAUCUCUACGCAUUUCACCGCUACACCGGGAAUUCCACUAUCCUCUACCGAACUCUAGUCAGCCAGUUUCCGAUGCCAUUCCCAGGUUGAGCCCAGGGCUUUCACAUCAGACUUAACAAACCACCUACGCACGCUUUACGCCCAGUAAUUCCGAUUAACGCUUGCACCCUUCGUAUUACCGCGGCUGCUGGCAC